rnacentral:rRNA from 1 species
AUUUAAAAUCUGGCGUCUUUCAGGCGUCCGAGUUGUAAUCUAUAGAGGCGUUUUCCGCGCCGGACCGCGUCCAAGUCUCUUGGAAUAGAGUAUCAAAGAGGGUGACAAUCCCGUACUUGACGCGACAACCGGUGCUCUGUGAUACGUUCUCAAUGAGUCGAGUUGUUUGGGAAUGCAGCUCUAAAUGGGUGGUAAAUUCCAUCUAAGGCUAAAUAUUGGCGAGAGACCGAUAGCGAACAAGUACCGUGAGGGAAAGAUGAAAAGCACUUUGGAAAGAGAGUUAAACAGCACGUGAAAUUGUUAAAAGGGAAACGAUUGAAGUCAGUCGUGUGAAAGGUAUUCAGCCGUCUCUGGCGGUGUAUUUGCCUUUCACGGGUCAACAUCAGUUUGAUCCGGUAGAAAAAGGCAGGAGGAAGGUGGCACCCUCGGGUGUGUUAUAGCCUCUUGUCAUAUGUGCCGGACCAGACUGAGGAACGCAGCUUGCCGCAAGGCCGGGGUUCGCCCACGUACAAGCUUAGGAUGUUGACAUAAUGGCUUUAAACGACCCGUCUUGA